UUUCCUGAUCAACGCUAAUCGGAUCAGGGUUAGUCGGGUCCUAAGGCUCAGCCGAACGGUGAGGCCGAUGGCAGAACAGGUUAAUAUUCCUGUACUACCUGUAAGAGUGAUGUGGAGACGGAGGAGUGACAACGCCGCGGACUGACGGAAUAGUCCGUUAAAGGGUGUAGAUGUUGAUUAUCCCAGGCAAAUCCGGGAUAAGAGUCG
rnacentral:rRNA from 1 species